rnacentral:rRNA from 1 species
GUGGGGCAUCGGAGUGCUUGCACUUCGCUGACGAGCGGCGGACGGGUGCGUAACACGUAGGAAUCUGCCCGGUAGUGGGGGAUAGCCCGGAGAAAUUCGGAUUAAUACCGCAUACGCCCUAAGGGGGAAAGCAGGGGAUCGGUUCGCCGACCUUGCGCUAUCGGAUGAGCCUGCGUCGGAUUAGCUAGUUGGUGGGGUAAAGGCCCACCAAGGCGACGAUCCGUAGCUGGUCUGAGAGGAUGAUCAGCCACACUGGGACUGAGACACGGCCCAGACUCCUACGGGAGGCAGCAGUGGGGAAUAUUGCACAAUGGGCGAAAGCCUGAUGCAGCCAUGCCGCGUGUGUGAAGAAGGCCCUAGGGUUGUAAAGCACUUUCAGUGGGGAGGAAAGGUUGAAGGUUAAUACCCUUUAGCUGUGACGUUACCCACAGAAGAAGCACCGGCUAACUCCGUGCCAGCAGCCGCGGUAAUACGGAGGGUGCGAGCGUUAAUCGGAAUUACUGGGCGUAAAGCGUGCGUAGGCGGCUUUUUAAGUUGGAUGUGAAAGCCCCGGGCUUAACCUGGGAACUGCAUCCAAAACUGGAAGGCUUGAGUGCGAGAGAGGAGUGUGGAAUUUCCUGUGUAGCGGUGAAAUGCGUAGAUAUAGGAAG